rnacentral:rRNA from 1 species
AUUGAACGCUGGCGGCAGGCUUAACACAUGCAAGUCGAACGUGUUCCGGACGGGUGAGUAAUGUUUGGGAAUCUAUCUUAUGGUGGGGGAUAACUACGGUAAACUGUAGCUAAUACCGCGUACCAUAGUAUGACACCAAGUGGGAUUAGGUAGUUAGAGGGGUAAAGUCUCACCAAGCCGACGAUCUCUAGCUGGUCUGAGAGAAUGACAAGCAACACUGUGACUGGGACACGGGCCAGACUCCUACGGAAAGAAGCAGUGGGGAAUAUUGCGUGAUGGGGGCAGCCUGACGCAGACAUGCCGCGUGAAUAAAGAAAGCCUUCGGGUUGUAAAGAUCUUUAAGUAGCGAGGCGUUAACAACAGAAGAAGCACCGGCUAACACCGUGCCAGCAGACAGGGUAAUAG